CACCGCGGUUAUACGGGAGGACCCGAGUUGAUAAAGCCCGGCGUAAAGCGUGGUUAAGAGCACAAUAAACUAAAGCCGAAGACUAUCAAAGCUGUCGUACGCAUGUCGAGAGCACGAAGAACACUUACGAAAGUAGCUUUAACCAUCUGAGCCCACGAAAGCUAAGGCA
rnacentral:rRNA from 2 species